UAGCGGCGAGCGAACCGGGAAGAGCCCAAACUAAGAAGCUUGCUUCUUAGGGUUGUAGGACUGAACAUUUGAGUUACCAAGAAAUGGAGUAGUUGAAUAAUCUGGGAAGAUUAGCCAAAGAGAGUGAUAGCCUCGUAAACGAAACUUCGUUUCCUCAGUUCAGGAUCCUGAGUACGGCGGAACACGUGAAACUCCGUCGGAAUCCGGGAGGACCAUCUCCCAAGG
rnacentral:rRNA from 1 species